rnacentral:rRNA from 1 species
UACGUAGGGGCCAAGCGUUGUCCGGAAUCAUUGGGCGUAAAGGGCGCGUAGGCGGUCCGGUAAGUCAGAUGUCAAAUCUGCAGGCUCAACCUGCAGCCGCAUCUGAUACUGCCGGGCUGGAGAAUGGUAGAGGAAAGCGGAACUUACGGUGUAGCGGUGAAAUGCGUAGAUAUCGUAAGGAACACCAGUGGCGAAGGCGGCUUUCUGGGCCAUUUCUGACGCUGAGGCGCGAAAGCCAGGGGAGC